rnacentral:sRNA from 1 species
ACCAUCAACUAUGUAAAGGAGAUCUAGGGAACACCGUCUUGAACCCGCCAGGGGUUUUGAGUCUCGGACCCAGGAGAUCCAACCCUGACCACCCUCCCAGGAUGCAGCAGGGGGAUGUUAAAUCAGACUUCAGGAAGAACUUCCUUGCUGCCUGAGUUAGGUGUCGUCACGCCUGCCCAGGGCUUCUCCCUUCUCGCUGCCUUGCGGGGUGGGGAAACGUGGAAGGAAUUCUGGGAAAACCAGAUGUCUGGGUUCUCUAUUCCCGUCUGGCUUGAUUCUGGACAAGGGGCUUCCUCUCCAGGGCCUCGGUUUCCCCAUCUUUAAAAUGGAGUGAUAGCAUAGACCUGCCCACCUUUCAGAGGUGCCCGAAGCCUUGACGAGAUAACAGAUGAGAAGUGGUUUUCGUUGUGAUGAGCCAGCUGAAGCGGUUGCACCGAAGGAGCGCCAGACCGUCAGCGGUGCAGUGGCUCUCGCGUCCUUCACAUCCCCCCACACCCAUCCCGUGGAUGAUGGGGGAAGGCGCUACUCCUGGGGUUCCCCGAAGCGGAUCCUGGGACUGGGACCUGGGGACGCGGUGAGAGGCAGCCCUGAAGCUGAGUCCAGAGGUCUGGGGCGUCAUUGUCCCAGGGCGGACCCAGCCCCAGACCCUACAACUAAACCCAAGGCCAGCCGAGAAGCACUACCCCUGGCGGGCUGAGCUGAGCUCUCAUUCUUCUUAGGACUCUGGACCUUUGGAGGAAAUGAAAGGGACCCAGUUGGAAAUAUAGUCUUUCUUCGCGCCCCCUACAUCUCUCUCCCCCUGCGGAAACGCGGCC